UACGUAGGGUGCAAGCGUUGUCCGGAAUUAUUGGGCGUAAAGGGCGCGUAGGCGGCCCGUCAAGUCCCGUGUGAAAGCCCCCGGCUCAACCGGGGAACUGCACGGGAAACUAGCAGGCUUGAGUUCGGGAGAGGGAAGCGGAAUUUCGGGUGUAGCGGUGAAAUGCGCAGAUAUCCGAAGGAACACCGGUGGCGAAGGCGGCUUCCUGGACCGACACUGACGCUGAGGCGCGAAAGCUAGGGGAGCAAACGGG
rnacentral:rRNA from 1 species